CCUUCGGUAGCUCAGCGGGUAGAGCGGAGGACUGUAGGCUGGCUAGGCGCGGACAUCCUUAGGUCGCUGGUUCGAUUCCGGCUCGAAGGA
rfam:Canis lupus familiaris chromosome 8, whole genome shotgun sequence.